rnacentral:rRNA from 1 species
UACGUAGGGUGCGAGCGUUAAUCGGAAUUACUGGGCGUAAAGCGUGCGCAGGCGGUUAUGCAAGACAGAUGUGAAAUCCCCGGGCUUAACCUGGGACCUGCACUUGUGACUGCAUAGCUAGAGUACGGUAGAGGGGGAUGGAAUUCCGCGUGUAGCAGUGAAAUGCGUAGAUAUGCGGAGGAACACCGAUGGCGAAGGCAAUCCCCUGGACCUGUACUGACGCUCAGGCACGAAAGCGUGGGGAGCAAACAGG